CUGUGAUGCCCUUAGAUGUUCUGGGCCGCACGCGCGCUACACUGACGGAGCCAGCGAGUAUUAACCUUGGCCGAGAGGUCUGGGAAAUCUUGUGAAACUCCGUCGUGCUGGGGAUAGAGCAUUGUAAUUAUUGCUCUUCAACGAGGAAUUCCUAGUAAGCGCAAGUCAUCAGCUUGCGUUGAUUACGUCCCUGCCCUUUGUACACACCGC
rnacentral:rRNA from 1 species